UCGCAGGGAGCCAUCCACCCUGGCUCUGGCCUCCAGACUGGGGAGAGAAUCCUCCCAGCUCCUGCCCUUGAACCAAAAGCCUCAGAGCUGCUCCAGGUCUCCUGGGUCCCAAGCAGCACUAUUCACAAUAGCGAAGACAUGGAAACAUCUAAAUGUCCAUCAACAGAUGAAUGGAUUAAGAAGAUGUGGUGCCUAUACAUAAUGGAAUACUACUCAACCAUAAAAAAGAAUGAAAUAAUGCCAUCUAGAGCAACAUGGAUGCAACUAGAGAUUAUCAUAUUAAGAGAGCCACCCAGAAGCAGCCACAGGACCCACCAUGACAAGCUGGAGCCAGGAGCCUGGGGAAACAGCACCCACUUCCCCCACCCCCACCCGCUGGCUCUGCUCCAGGUCCUGGAUGCAGCAAGGACGGCAGACCACCCAGCGCAUGAAGAUGAGACGGUCCACUGUGGGGGCAGGGAGCCGCACCAACUCAGACCCCAGCUGCC
ensembl:lncRNA